rnacentral:tRNA from 1 species
GUACCGUUAGCUUAUUGGUAAAAGCCCUUGCUAUGGGAAAAUCCCGUCUUGAAAAACACGGUAACAGCAACGCCUCGGGGCGCAAGUGAAGCAGGUUCGAUUCCUGCACGGUACA